rnacentral:rRNA from 1 species
AGUGAACGCUGGCGGUAGGCCUAACACAUGCAAGUCGAACGGCAGCACAGUAAGAGCUUGCUCUUACGGGUGGCGAGUGGCGGACGGGUGAGGAAUACAUCGGAAUCUACUUUUUCGUGGGGGAUAACGUAGGGAAACUUACGCUAAUACCGCAUACGACCUACGGGUGAAAGCAGGGGAUCUUCGGACCUUGCGCGAUUGAAUGAGCCGAUGUCGGAUUAGCUAGUUGGCGGGGUAAAGGCCCACCAAGGCGACGAUCCGUAGCUGGUCUGAGAGGAUGGACAGCCACCAUGGGACUGAGACACGGCCCAGGCUCCCACGGGGGGCAGCCGGGGGGAAUUUUGGACAAUGGGCGCAAGCCUGAUCCAGCCAUGCCGGGGGGGGGAAGAAGGGCUUGGGGGUGUAAACCCCUUUUGGCAGGAAAGAAAAGGUGUCAGCUAAUACCCGGCGUUUAUGACGGUACCCGAAGAAUAAGCACCGGCUAACUUCGUG